rnacentral:rRNA from 1 species
CACGUAGUUAGCCGGUGCUUAUUCUUCCGGUACCGUCAUCCACUCUGGAUAUUAGCCAAAGCGAUUUCUUUCCAGACAAAAGUGCUUUACAACCCGAAGGCCUUCUUCACACACGCGGCAUUGCUGGAUCAGGGUUUCCCCCAUUGUCCAAAAUUCCCCACUGCUGCCUCCCGUAGGAGUCUGGGCCGUGUCUCAGUCCCAGUGUGGCUGGUCGUCCUCUCAGACCAGCUACUGAUCGUCGCCUUGGUAGGCUUUUACCCCGACCAACUAGCUAAUCAGAUAUCGGCCGCUCCAGGAGCGUGAGGCCUUGCGGUCCCCCGACUUUCAUCCGUGGAUCGUAUGCGGUAUUAACUCCGGCUUUCGCCGGGUCUAUCCCCCCGACUCCAGGGCACGUUCCGAUAUAUUACUCACCCGUUCGCCACUCGCCGCCAGGGUUACCCCCGCGCUGCCGUUCGACUUGCAUGUGUAAGGCAUGCCGCCAGCGUUCAAUCUGAGCCAGGAUCAAACUC